rnacentral:lncRNA from 1 species
UUUAGUUAAAGUAUGAAUGGUAUAUAAGUAUAUACAUAAAUGUUAUUGAAUUUAGUUGAAGUAUAAAGUUUAUAUAUAUAUAUACAAGGUUUGAAUUCACACAUGUAUAUACAUGUAUAAAUUAUUGGUUUAAUCAAAGGUAUGUAUAUAUAUGUGUACAUAAGGUUCGAAUAAAUGCAUAGGUAUAUACAUGUAUAAACCUUUGGAUUGGAUUUAUAAUAUGUAUAUUAUACUUGUUUAAGUAGUUUCGAAUAAGCAUGCAAAUAUAUAUAUGUAUAUUCUUUUGUAUCGAAUUAAGAUAUGUCAUUAUAUAAGUA